AACGUAGGAGACAAACGUUAUCCGGAGUUACUGGGCGUAAAGGGCGUGUAGGUGGUUUCGUAAGUCUGGCGUGAAAUAUCUCGGCUUAACCGAGGCAGGUCGUCGGAUACUGCGGAACUAGAGGACGGUAGAGGCGUGUGGAAUUCCGGGUGUAGUGGUGAAAUGCGUAGAUAUCUGGAGGAACACCGGUGGCGAAGGCGGCAUCCUGGACCAAUUCUGACGCCGAUGAGCGAAAGCCAGGGGAGCAAACGGG
rnacentral:rRNA from 1 species